GUGCUUGCUUUAGCAGCACAUAUCCUAAAAUUGGAACAGUACAGAGAAGAUUAGCAUGGCUCCUGUGCAAGGAUGGCAUGCAAAUUCAUGACGUGUUCUAUAUAUAU
ensembl:snRNA U6 U6 spliceosomal RNA